rnacentral:lncRNA from 1 species
AGCUGUCCCGUUAACAAUCAGAUAACACAAGCGCCUGGGUAGCUGCUGCGGCGGCGGCGAUGCGAGCAGGAGGAGGAGGCCGGGGCAUCUUUAUAUAGAUGUCCUGAGCAUGUGCUGCCACUAAGGGACCAAUCAGGAAGGGCUACGUCAGGGAUGCCCACUCCCAGUCUGUCUCUCUCUCUCAACUGCUGGGAAGCGGCCAGGGUAAGGUUGCACUGGGAUGGGUGACGUCCUCCUCGCCCGUAAUAACAGGGCUGUACUAAAGAGGGCAUGGCGAGAGGCUCCCCUUUUCCAGAAACAGGAGGGGCAAGGAUAUCUUUCAUGGGCUGCUGCAACUUCUUGGGACGCCAUAUGCAAGAAGGCAACUGUCCUGGUAUUUAAUGCUACUAUCGACAGGUAUCAAUCUGAAAAUAACUGAAGGUGUUGCUAAAUUUUUGGGAAUAGAAGUGAAGAAAUGACCAAGCUAAUAAUGCCAGAGAUGCCUGGAAUUUUGUAUUCUAAGAGCUGCUACUGUGGACAUUUGCUUUUAAGCUAUAUUUUAUGAGUCAUUGGCAGUAUCAGGAUCAUUAUAAGCAGUGCACUGCCCAAUCUGAAGAUAGAUACAUAAUUAUAAUUCAUCCUGCUGUCACUUUUUCAGUGUGAUUUUAAGCUACGANACACAUUGUUGAUUCUGACACUCCUAAGGAUCUCUUUCUUAUGAUUUUCUUUAUGGGUAGUCAUAUAUAUUUAAAUCAUAAAACC